rnacentral:rRNA from 2 species
CAGGAACGAACGCGGCGGCGUGCCUAAUACAUGCAAGUCGAACGAACUCUGGUAUUGAUUGGUGCUUGCAUCAUGAUUUACAUUUGAGUGAGUGGCGAACUGGUGAGUAACACGUGGGAAACCUGCCCAGAAGCGGGGGAUAACACCUGGAAACAGAUGCUAAUACCGCAUAACAACUUGGACCGCAUGGUCCGAGUUUGAAAGAUGGCUUCGGCUAUCACUUUUGGAUGGUCCCGCGGCGUAUUAGCUAGAUGGUGGGGUAACGGCUCACCAUGGCAAUGAUACGUAGCCGACCUGAGAGGGUAAUCGGCCACAUUGGGACUGAGACACGGCCCAAACUCCUACGGGAGGCAGCAGUAGGGAAUCUUCCACAAUGGACGAAAGUCUGAUGGAGCAACGCCGCGUGAGUGAAGAAGGGUUUCGGCUCGUAAAACUCUGUUGUUAAAGAAGAACAUAUCUGAGAGUAACUGUUCAGGUAUUGACGGUAUUUAACCAGAAAGCCACGGCUAACUACGUGCCAGCAGCCGCGGUAAUACGUAGGUGGCAAGCGUUGUCCGGAUUUAUUGGGCGUAAAGCGAGCGCAGGCGGUUUUUUAAGUCUGAUGUGAAAGCCUUCGGCUCAACCGAAGAAGUGCAUCGGAAACUGGGAAACUUGAGUGCAGAAGAGGACAGUGGAACUCC